UCUGGAAAGCCCCGCCUCUACUUCUCCCGGCCCCUCCCUCCACAGCCUGGAGAACACACACACUUCCAACCGGCAGGCAGACACACACAGCCUUCGGACCCCAGCCCGCCCCCAUCUCCCCCCAGCCCAGUGCAGCGUGGGAAACGUAGGCUGUACAGCGCUGUGCCAGGGAGGACGUUCAUCGCUACACGGUCUCACACACCGCAGGGUCCCGGGGAGAUCAGCCUGCAUCGGGGGGAGAGGGUCAAAGUGCUGAGUAUAGGAGAAGGAGGGUUCUGGGAGGGUUCUGUUAAAGGACGGACCGGAUGGUUUCCUGCUGACUGUGUUGAAGAGGUCCAGAUGAGACAGUACGACCCACGCCUAGAAACACGAGAGGAUCGAACCAAGAGGCUUUUCAGACAUUACACCGUGGGUUCCUAUGACAACUACACCUCUUACAGUGAUUAUGUCAUCGAGGAGAAGAGUUCUGUGCUACAGAAGAGAGACAGUGAAGGAUUUGGCUUCGUCCUCCGUGGAGCCAAAGCGGAGACCCCUAUAGAGGAGUUUGCCCCUACCCCAGCGUUCCCGGCGCUGCAGUACCUGGAGUCUGUUGACUUGGAGGGCGUGGCCUGGAGGGCGGGGCUACGCACUGGGGACUUCCUCAUUGAGGUGAAUGGCAGUGAUGUGGUGAAGGUGGGCCAUAGACAGGUGGUGUCGCUGAUCCGUCAGGGAGGAAGUCAGCUGCUGAUGAAGGUUGUUUCAGUCACACGCAAACCUGAGUCCGACUUAGUCCGUAAGAAAGCUCCUCCUCCGCCUAAGAGAGCACCCAGCACGUCGCUCACACUGCGCUCCAAAUCUAUGACUGCUGAACUGGAAGAGAUAGUGUUGGGUUGGAAUUCUAUAAUUGUAUCAUAUCAUUCUAUCAUCUAG
rnacentral:lncRNA from 1 species